rnacentral:rRNA from 1 species
AAUGAACGCUGGCGGCGUGCCUAACACAUGCAAGUCGAACGCACCUUUCGAGGUGAGUGGCAGACGGGUGAGUAACACGUGGGAACGUACCCUUUUGUUCGGAAUAACCCUGGGAAACUAGGGCUAAUACCGGAUACGCCCUAACGGGGAAAGGUUUACUUCAGGAGGAUCGGCCCGCGUCCGAUUAGCUAGUUGGUUGGGGUAACGGCUCACCAAGGCGACGAUCGGUAGCUGGUCUGAGAGGAUGGCCAGACACAUUGGGACUGAGACACGGCCCAAGCUCCUACAGGAGGCAGCAGUGGGGAAUAUUGGACAAUGGGCGCAAGCCUGAUCCAGCCAUGCCGCGUGAGUGAUGACGGCCUUAGGGUUGUAAAGCUCUUUUACCUGGGAAGAUAAUGACGGUACCAGGAGAAUAAGCCCCGGCUAACUUCGUGCCAGCCGCCGCCGUAACAC